UACGAACCGUGCGAACGUUGUUCGGAAUCACUGGGCUUAAAGGGCGCGUAGGCGGCCGGGUUGGUCGUGGGUGAAAUCCCCCAGCUUAACUGGGGAACUGCCUACGAUACUGCCGUGCUUGAGGACUGGAGAGGAGACUGGAAUUUACGGUGUAGCGGUGAAAUGCGUAGAUAUCGUAAGGAAGACCAGUGGCGAAGGCGGGUCUCUGGACAGUUCCUGACGCUGAGGCACGAAGGUCAGGGGAGCAAACGGG
rnacentral:rRNA from 1 species